CACUGACCCUUCAGCCUGCUUCCUUGAACAUCAGGCAAAGAUAUCUCUAAUGAGACAGAGAGGGGUAUUUUUUUAUAUACACCCCUAUAUACUUAUUAACCCUUAAUAGGUAACACAUGGGAUGUCUCAUUAGAGAAAUCUUUGCCAGAAGUUCAAGGAAGCAGGCUGAAGGGUCAGUGU